rnacentral:rRNA from 2 species
GCUUACGGCCAUACCACCCUGAACACGCCCGAUCUCGUCUGAUCUCGGAAGCUAAGCAGGGUCGGGCCUGGUCAGUACUUGGAUGGGAGACCGCCUGGGAAUACCAGGUGCUGUAAGCUUUU